CGAAGGGGGCGAGCGUUGUUCGGAUUUACUGGGCGUAAAGGGCGCGCAGGCGGCAGACCAAGUCAGGCGUGAAAGCCCCGGGCUUAACCUGGGAGGUGCGUCUGGGACUGGUUUGCUAGAGUUCGGGAGAGGAGAGUGGAAUUCCCAGUGUAGAGGUGAAAUUCGUAGAUAUUGGGAAGAACACCGGUGGCGAAGGCGGCUCUCUGGACCGAGACUGACGCUGAGGCGCGAAAGCGUGGGGAGCAAACAGGAUUAGAUACCCUGGUAGUCCACGCUGUAAACGAUGUGUGCUAGACGUUGGGGAGCCUAGCUCUUCGGUGUCGCAGCUAACGCGGUAAGCACACCGCCUGGGGAGUACGGCCGCAAGGUUA
rnacentral:rRNA from 1 species